GCAUCGGUGGUUUAGUGGUAAAAUUAGCCGUUGCCACUCCUCGCAGAGCAACUUCGGCUAGCCCCGGGUUCGAUUCCCGGCCGAUGCA